AGUGAACGCUGGCGGUAGGCCUAACACAUGCAAGUCGAACGGCAGCACAGGAGAGCUUGCUCUCUGGGUGGCGAGUGGCGGACGGGUGAGGAAUACAUCGGAAUCUACUUUUUCGUGGGGGAUAACGUAGGGAAACUUACGCUAAUACCGCAUACGACCUACGGGUGAAAGCAGGGGAUCUUCGGACCUUGCGCGAUUGAAUGAGCCGAUGUCGGAUUAGCUAGUUGGCGGGGUAAAGGCCCACCAAGGCGACGAUCCGUAGCUGGUCUGAGAGGAUGAUCAGCCACACUGGAACUGAGACACGGUCCAGACUCCUACGGGAGGCAGCAGUGGGGAAUAUUGGACAAUGGGCGCAAGCCUGAUCCAGCCAUACCGCGUGGGUGAAGAAGGCCUUCGGGUUGUAAGGCCCUUUUGUUGGGAAAGAAAUCCAGCUGGUUAAUACCCGGUUGGGAUGACGGUACCCAAAGAAUAAGCACCGGCUAGCUUCGUGCCAGCCGCCGCGGUAA
rnacentral:rRNA from 1 species